UCCUACGGGAGGCAGCAGUAGGGAAUYUUCGGCAAUGGACGAAAGUCUGACCGAGCAACGCCGCGUGAGUGAAGAAGGUUUUCGGAUCGUAAAACUCUGUUGUUAGAGAAGAACAAGGACGUUAGUAACUGAACGUCCCCUGACGGUAUCUAACCAGAAAGCCACGGCUAACUACGUGCCAGCAGCCGCGGUAAUACGUAGGUGGCAAGCGUUGUCCGGAUUUAUUGGGCGUAAAGCGAGCGCAGGCGGUUUCUUAAGUCUGAUGUGAAAGCCCCCGGCUCAACCGGGGAGGGUCAUUGGAAACUGGGAGACUUGAGUGCAGAAGAGGAGAGUGGAAUUCCAUGUGUAGCGGUGAAAUGCGUAGAKAUAUGGA
rnacentral:rRNA from 1 species